rnacentral:rRNA from 1 species
UACAGAGGUCUCAAGCGUUGUUCGGAUUCAUUGGGCGUAAAGGGUGCGUAGGUGGCGCCGUAAGUCAGGUGUGAAAUCCCGGGGCUCAACCCCGGAACUGCACUUGAUACUGCGGUGCUCGAGUACUGGAGAGGAGAUUGGAAUUUACGGUGUAGCAGUGAAAUGCGUAGAUAUCGGAAAGAACACCAACGGCGAAAGCACUCUGCUGGGCCGACACUGACACUGAGAGACGAAAGCUAGGGGAGCGAAUGGG